UGGUUUAUUAGCUCAGUUGGUUAGAGCAUCGUGCUAAUAAUGUGAAGGUUGCAGGUUCGAAAACUGUGGCCAA
rnacentral:tRNA from 1 species